rnacentral:rRNA from 1 species
GACGAACGCUGGCGGCGUGCCUAAUACAUGCAAGUCGAGCGGACAGAAGGGAGCUUGCUCCCGGAAGUCAGCGGCGGACGGGUGAGUAACACGUGGGCAACCUGCCUGUAAGACUGGGAUAACUUCGGGAAACCGGAGCUAAUACCGGAUAGGUUCUUCCUCCGCAUGGAGGAAGAUGGAAAGACGGUUUCGGCUGGCACUUACAGAUGGGCCCGCGGCGCAUUAGCUAGUGGGUGGGGUAAUGGCCCACCAAGGCGACGAUGCGUAGCCGACCGGAGAGGGUGAUCGGCCCCACUGGGACUGGGACACGGCCCAGACUCCUACGGGAGGCAGCAGUAGGGAAUCUUCCGCAAUGGACGAAAGUCUGACGGAGCAACGCCGCGUGAGCGAAGAAGGCCUUCGGGUCGUAAAGCUCUGUUGUUAGGGAAGAACAAGUGCCAGAGUAACUGCUGGCACCUUGACGGUACCUGACCAGAAAGCCACGGCUAACUACGUGCCAGCCGCCGCGGUAA